GGGUUGUGAGGUUAAGCGACUAAGCGUACACGGUGGAUGCCCUGGCAGUCAGAGGCGAUGAAGGGCGUGCUAAUCUGCGAUAAGCGCCGGUAAGGUGAUAUGAACCGUUAUAACCGGCGAUACCCGAAUGGGGAAACCCAGUGUGACUCGUCACACUAUCAUUAACUGAAUCCAUAGGUUAAUGAGGCGAACCGGGGGAACUGAAACAUCUAAGUACCCCGAGGAAAAGAAAUCAACCGAGAUUCCCCCAGUAGCGGCGAGCGAACGGGGAGGAGCCCAGAGCCUGAAUCAGCAUGUGUGUUAGUGGAAGCGUCUGGAAAGGCGCGCGAUACAGGGUGACAGCCCCGUACACAAAAGCGCAUGUGCUGUGAGCUCGAUGAGUAGGGCGGGAC
rnacentral:rRNA from 1 species